AAAUAGAUUACUGAAGACAAUACUCAAGAAAGGAAACUAUUCUUGAGGCCUGAUAAAUCUUUUUUUUUUUUUUUGAGGCCUGAUAAAUCUUAAACACAGAGUAGGAUCGACAUAUCUAUUAUCUCCAGGGCAGGUUUAGCUGAGAUCUUAGCAGAGGCUGAAAAUGGAGCUGGUUCUUUAUCCAUGUCAUUCUGUUUGGGGAUGUAAAACAUGCACUUAAAAUUAAUUAAAGAAGUUUAGUGAAAUAUAUCUUGCUUAAAUUGUGCAAAAUCAGAAUUCAUAGCAUUGUUCGCAGCUUUUACCAAUAGAAGAACUUUGAUUAUUUCUUCCUUUAAAGAUACAGAGCCCCCAAAAGUUCGGUUUCAUUCUGCCCAUAUGUUUUGCAAUUAGAUGAGAUAAAAUUGCUUUUAUACUGGUAAUAUAACAGCUGUUCUAUAUGAUAUGCUUGCCAGGGAGACAGCUCAGCUCUGAAAGGAGGGGAAAUUCAUUCGGUUGGAAAAAGCAAUGUAUUUCUGUGUGGUCAUAGGGAAAAUGAUAAAGAGUAGGAAUAUUUUCAACCUGACUAGAGAAUAUUAAAUGAUCCUACUUAGUAAAUUGUAGACUCUGUAGAUAACUCAUUUUUGUGACUUUAGUUUCAGUCUUAGAUGCUUCCUAGAAACUGGCAUAUUACCAGGCAUCUUACUAUAUUUUUAUUAUUUGUUUAAAAAAAUCUAGUGCUUUUAAUUUGAUGUAUGUGAGCAAAAAGAAGAGAUUAUGAGUAUCAUUGUUAAUUAUAGGGAGAACAUAAUAUUUUCUAAUUCCUUUUAAUUUUGGAAAUGAUUUUUAAAGGUGUAAUCCUUAAAAAAUAUUCUAGGGAGGGAUGCCUGAGGGGUUCAGUGACUGUUCAACAGACCCGUGAGCGUCUGCCUUCCGCUCAGGGCGUGAUCCUGGGGUCCGGGAUCGAGUCCCGCAUGUCGGGCUCCCUGCAGGGAGCCUGCUUCUCCCUCUGCCUGUGUCUCUGCCUCUCUUGCUCGCUCUCUGUGUGUCUCUCAUGAAUAGAUAAAUAAAAAAAUUGUUCUGGGGAAAGUUUACAUGUUGUCAUCUCUGAAGGAAAUUGAAUGGACUGUUGCUUUUGGGUCCUCUUCAGUCUCAUCUAUCAUUUUUAGGAUGUUAUGUUCAGUUUGGGAAGUAUUAAUGAAAAAAAUAAGGAAAAAAGUAUUUCAACAAACUUACCCUGUUUUUAUUUGUGGAUUGAAGUUUGAUUAGAGGAAGGCAUUGGACUUUUUCUGCUGUAGGUUUCUCAUUUGAUUUUAUAGUCAUUGUAAUCCUUCAGUAUGUUUUUACUUAUUCAUUGUGUAUGAAAUGCAUUAACAAUAUAGCCCCACCAUCCAUUGAUGUUGUGUGGGUUAAUGAAUAGUUGUAAAGCGUACCAAAAAUACAAAGCAAUCUAGCUGUUGGGUGUUAUUAUGUUGAAUUGUUGGUGUAUUGCAUGCAAACCUAUCCUGUUCAACUGGUUUUAGUUUCUAAGUUAGUUUGUUGCUUCAACUUGUCCACAGAAGCAGAGCCGAAUGGUUUAGCUAAUCAGUAGAGCAGUCAGAACUGAAUUCCAGUCUGCCUUUCUAUUCACUUUGUAGGUCCCUGAACAUCUAUUUUUUAAAUGGCUCUGGGACUUAGCUUCUCUGACUAGAAGAUGAAGCCUGUUCCUUACGCUCAGUCUUCCAAGAUUUUUUGAGAAGUCUCACGUGCAGAUUUCUGUGGGCUUUUCUCAAAUGCAAUGGCUUUAUAGAAUUAGAACUGUUUUCUGGUAUUCUUUCCUGAUAGCUUUUGACUAAACGCAACAAAGAAGCAGAUGCAUUUAUAAUGUGGCUUCUUUACGCAAAGUAUAAUUUUAUACUGUUUUGUAAUUAUAUAUUUGUAUAAUUUAUAGACAGUAAUGGUAUUUUUUUAAAGUUUGGGAUGCUUCAGUAUUAUUUUUCUUCAUAUACUACCUUGAGAAAAUAAAAUAAUCUUUAUCUUAUAUUAAACUUAUAAAUAAGUUGCUCUUUUGUACAUGUUUAAUAUUACUUUUGGCUGAGCUGUGUAGAAAGGGAUUCCCUUAACCUUUUUUUACGAUUAUAAAAAUAAUGUGUUCAUUUUAGAAAAUGCAAAGAAGUGUAAAGACAAAAAAUGAACUCAGAUAACUAUAAAGUUAACAUUUUAGUGAAAACUAGAGAAUUUUUUUACAUCUAUAUUUACUUUAUUCCCUUCUCUGUCAUUGAGAUAAUUCUAUAUGGAUGUAUUAUUGCUCUGAUACUGCUCUUAAACAUUGUGUGUGUGUGUGUAUGUGUGUGUGUGUGUGUGUGUAUAUACAUAUAUAUAUUUAUAUGACGAUUUUAUUUAUUUGUUUAUUUGAGAGAGAGGUGCGAAAGAGAGCGUGAGCAGUAGGCAGGGGGAGAAGCAGCUGUGGGGCUGGAUCCCAGGGCCCUGAGAUCAUGACCUGAGCUGAAGGCAGACACUUAGCUGACUGAGCCACACAGGCACCCCUUAAACAUAAUAUAUUUCAAGUAUCUUUAACGUUUUAAAAUGGGAAAUCUUUCAAAUUGAAGUUGAAAGUAGUAGUAUUAGUGAUAUUACUGUAAUCUGAAUGAUCAAAAUCUGAAUGCUAAGUAACUGUAUUAGAUGCUUCCUGAUAAUUACAGAAAAAAAUAACUAAACGAUAAAGUUUUUUUAAUCUAUGAAAAGCCCACAGCUAAUCAUUGAGUUUAAUAUUUAAUUACUACAUACAUUGCUCUGUUUCUCACAAAAUCCCUUUUUUUUUUAAAUAAAAAACAGACACGUGAGUUGGAUUUAGCACUCUUCUGAAGUCAAGUAUAUGACAGAUCAAAAUGGGAAAUAAUUCACCACAUUUAAAUUAUUUGUUAUAUCACCAAAAAGAAUGUGAAUCCAUUUUGAAUGGAGAUCUCAGAUUCCAUAUAAUGCUUUACUUGAGACUUGGUACUCCUUGUCAGAACCAAACUAGCGACUGUUUCUCAUGUGUCUGUUCUAGCACAAGCACGAUUUUUCUUGGGUUCAAGUGGUCCUCAAAAGCCCAAAGCAGUCUGGAACCAAGCCAGGCAUUUGAUAUUUUCAAAUCUAUGUUGAGGAAAGUCAAAGUGUCCAUCUGCCUGGCUCAGAUAUUGCCAAAAAAGGCCUGGAUUCUGUGCUAAAGAACAUGCCAAAAAAUUGACUCUGGCCUCCAGGAAACUGAUAUCUACCUCACAUAAUAAUCUCUGUUCUCUGAGUUUUGUGAAGAAAAGGCUAUAACUUUUAAAUCAAAGAGGUAAUGAACUAUAGUGUUAUUGAGAGAGGAUUAAAUUAAUGCACAUAAAAAACUUAGUUGUGCUUAAUAAUCAGCACGUAGUAAACCUUCAGAGUUGGCUAUCGUUAUUAUUAAUAUUGCUUUAUUACAUUCACCAUGUUUAAAAAACAGCAGAGUGAACUCUGUCAAUUCUAGAUUAAUACACGUCAGCUUCCCUGCCGUGAUCUGGGGACUGGCAACCCACUGGUAAUCAGAAGACUUGCACGUUGUCACAGAUCAACCUUUUCUAACAGGUGAUUCUAAGGUACAGGUAGGACCAAUAUGCUUGAUGCAAAAGUCUACCUCCUGUCCUGUCAAGAGUGGCCGAGGCCAAGCCAGAAUUACUCUGUGCCGUAUUGCCAGAUACACAGUAAUGGUACUGCUCGGAACUGAGCUGAAUGGAAGCUAUUUUCAAAAAGCAAAUGCAAAGAUGGUGACUCUGGGGAUUCCCUGAAGCAGCCAUUGUCCAGUUCUAGCAGGUAUGUAAUCCUCUGGGUCUUUUGUAGGUAUUGAGCUCUAGCCACAAAUGACCAGUAAAGUGAAAAUAAGACUGGGGCCUAUAGAAAGACAUGACCACUCAAUUUUACAUUGGUUGCACAUUGACAUUUUUGAAAGCAUGCCAAAUAUAACAUGCACAUACACAGCCCAAGUCACAUAAUCUCCCUGGGCUUCUAUAUGGUCAUCUGUAACAUGAGUAUAACAGUGCCAGCCUAAUAGGGUGCUUGAGUGUUGACCUAGAAUUCAAACCCACCUCUGUCUGACUUAAAAGUCUGUGUUCUUUUUCUCUUUUAACUAAGCUAUGCUGCACUGUCAAAGCAGAUAGCAGUAGCAGAAAUGAAAUAAAGCAUUCAGUGGAUACAGAACACUUUUUAGGUUCUGUUUUUGUCACCUUCCCUAGCAUCCCCCAGGAAGCCCUUAUAUUGUCCUUUUCAGCACUCAUUCUGAAUUGCACAGUGACUCUGGUUUGAUUUCAGUAGCUACUGGGAAAAUCAAAAUUAGAUCAAAGAGUGUUUCUCAGAGGUAGAUAUGGAUGUGGGGUAAGGGUGGGGAGAGGAAAUAACGGUGGAAAUUGGAUGAGACUAAACAGGUAGACACCCAUGAUAAAUGUAAAGCAGAACUAACUGUAAGACUGUCAAAUCAGGGAUCCCUGGGUGGCGCAGCGGUUUGGCGCCUGCCUUUGACCCAGGGCGCGAUCCUGGAGACCCGGGAUCGAAUUCCAUGUCGGGCUCCCGGUGCAUGGAGCCUGCUUCUCCCUCUGCCUGUGUCUCUGCCUCUCUCUCUCUCUCUCUCUCUCUCUCUCUGUGUGACUAUCAUAAAUUAAAAAAAAAAAAAAAAAAAAAAAA
rnacentral:lncRNA from 1 species